GAUCCUGGCUCAGGAUGAACGCUGGCGGCGUGCUUAACACAUGCAAGUCGAACGGAGGACCCUUGACGGAGUUUUCGGACAACAGAUAGGAAUCCUUAGUGGCGGACGGGUGAGUAACGCGUGAGGAACCUGCCUUGGAGAGGGGAAUAACACAGAGAAAUUUGUGCUAAUACCGCAUGAUGCAGUUAUAUCGCAUGGUAUUGACUGACCAAAGUAUUUUAUCGCUCUGAGAUGGCCUCGCGUCUGAUUAGCUGGUUGGCGGGUAACGGCCCACCAAGGCGACGAUCAGUAGCCGGACUGAGAGGUUGGCCGGCCACAUUGGGACUGAGACACGGCCCAGACUCCUACGGGAGGCAGCAGUGGGGAAUAUUGGGCAAUGGGCGCAAGCCUGACCCAGCAACGCCGCGUGAAGGAAGAAGGCUUUCGGGUUGUAAACUUCUUUUAUGGAGGACGAAGGAAGUGACGGUACUCCAUGAAUAAGCUCCGGCUAACUACGUGCC
rnacentral:rRNA from 1 species